CGCACAUUCAGGGUGUUGGUGUAAAGUCUGACCUUUCCCAGCGACGCAGUUUCCAGAGCCUGGUCUUCUGGCCCCGGGGCUAACUUCCUGGUCAGCGCUCCGUGCCAGCCUCCCACGCCAGCACCUGCCGCCUGGCUAUGUGCUGGAAAACAGAAGCGCUGUGGCGGGGCAGUGGUGUUCUCCGAAAACGCGUGCCCACUUGGAAGCUGUGAUGGAAUUCGGGUCUUUGAGGCUGGGGUUGGUGGGGAUCCUGAGAUGCCGUCCAGGGGAGUCGCCAAUCCCGGGACGGAGUGUCCUGAGAAGGGACGGAUGGGAAGACAGGCCCCCGGAGGCCCCUGUGAGGAUGGAGGUAGAGUUGGGGGUGAGGUGGCCACAAGCCAAGGAAGCCUGGAGCCCCCCCACGUGGGACCCGGCAGGAAGGGUCCUCCCCCAGAGCCCAGAGACAAGCGCUUCUCUGAUUGGCUGACGGCAACUUCUUCCGCCCCGCCUGCCUUGUGGAUCAGAAGCAUCUCCGGUGAUGCAGCCGGAACGGGACACUGCAGGGACAACCUCAAGGCAGGUUGGAUAAGACCCGGCCCCACAGACAGAGUGCGUCUCUCAAAAUUGCGUUGUCUCAUCUGGGGAGUUUCAUUGUCUGACCGUGUCCGGCAGGCCCCGAAGGCGUCCGUGGGUGGAGCCACCUCACCUGCUGAGCCCCAUCGGAGGACGCGUCUCCGUCCAGUUUUGCUUGGUCUCCUCUUGAGCCUGGGGGCUCCCCACCCAGAUCAGCACGACGAUGCCAGGAAGCGAGGGCCACGCCCUGGAGACCAGCCCUCGGCUGAAGUGGUUCCUGGCCCCCUCCUCCCUGGCGGACCUGGCCGCUCCGUCACCCUGGACCCAGAUGCCCUUCAGACCCGCACUGCGUGUCAACACAUCUCCAGCCCUCAGGGGUCCGCGGGGCCUCAGAGACCCUCCAGCCCCGCCGAGCCGACACAGGCGAGGUGCUCAGGGAGCCUCUCCUGGAGUUGGUUGCACCCUGGGCAUGGGCAUGCCCUGUGCUGUAGGGUGACGCCCGGGCCCCUGCCCGUAUCCUCCGCCUUUAAGAAAGAGACACGAAGGGCAAAAAGUGGGCCCGCUGCUCAGAGGCCGGGAACAGGCUUCAGGCCAGGCGGUGGGCUCUCUCCAUUCCGGCCCACCCCUGCCGGGCCCGGCCCCGCCCGUCACCCCACAGCAGACCUCACCCACCUGUCCCCUUUCGUGACCCUGCUG
rnacentral:lncRNA from 1 species